CCUCGGUCGGCCUCCCACAGUGCUGGGAUUACAGGCUUGAGCCACCGCGCCUGGCCUACAUGCCCAGCUAAUUUUGUAUUUUUAGUAGAGACUGCGUUUCACUAUGUUGGUCAGGCUGGUCUCGAACUCCUGACCUCAGGUGAUCCACCAGCCUCGGCCUCCCGAAGUGCUGAGAUGUGAGACACUGCGCCCAGGGGGGUCCUUACUUUUAAAACUAAAGUUAACGAAGUAUUUCAUAGAAAAAAUAAAUUAGCUGUAAUUCGCCAAUAACGUUUGUGUUUACUUCUUGACUUAUUUAAGAAUGAGGCCCUGUCAGUCCUUGGAGCAGUGGCUCAUGCCUGUAAUCCCUGCACUUUGGGAGGCCGAGGCAGGCAGAUCACUUGAGGUCAGGAGUUUGAAACCAGCCUGGCCAACAUGGCCAAACCCCAUCUCUACUAAAAAUACAAAAAUGAGCCGGGUGUGGUGGCUUGCGCCUGUAGUCCCAGCUACUUGGGAGGCUGAGGCAGGAGAACUGCUUGAACAGGGGAGGUGGAGGCUGCGGUGAGCUGAGAUCAUGCCACUGCACUCCACCCUGGGCGACACAGACUCCAUCUCAAAAAAAAAGGAAGCCCUCUCAGUGCCCUCGCUGGGUCUACCUCACUGUCUCUCUUCCUGCUUUCACAUCUUCUGGAGCAAAUUUGGUAUUUUUUGUUGACGAGCACUACUGACGCUGGAAGGCAUUCCAUCUCCCUGCCUUUGUUACCUUCUACAAUCUUUGGGAAGAGACUUAUUUGAAAAGAGCUGUAAGUAGGCCGGGUGCAG
rnacentral:lncRNA from 10 species